rnacentral:rRNA from 1 species
GACGAACGCUGGCGGCGUGCCUAAUACAUGCAAGUCGAACGGUUUAGUUCCAAGAGGCUUGCCUUUUGGAACUAGACAGUGGCGGACGGGUGAGUAACACGUAGGCAACCUACCUGUCAAACCGGGAUAACCUCGGGAAACCGAAGCUAAACCCGGAUAAGCUCCUUUUUCGCAUGAAGGGGGAGUGAAAAGGUGCGACCUGAUGACAGAUGGGCCUGCGGCGCAUUAGCUAGUAGGUAGGGUAACGGCCUACCUAGGCGAUGAUGCGUAGCCGACCUGAGAGGGCGUACGGCCACACUGGGACUGAGAUACGGCCCAGACUCCUACGGGAGGCAGCAGUAGGGAAUCUUCGGCAAUGGGCGAAAGCCUGACCGAGCGACGCCGCGUGAGUGAGGAAGGCCUUCGGGUUGUAAAACUCUGUUGUUUGGGAAGAAGGGAAAGGGUAGGACCCUUUGGUGACGGUACCAAACGAGAAAGCCCCGGCUAACUACGUG